rnacentral:lncRNA from 1 species
ACUUAGAAAUUGUUGUAAAUGCCUUGAGAUGACAAUUAAACAAUCGAGGUCAAACCUAGUACCUCACAAUACGGGUGUUCAUAAACCGCCCAAACCAAAGAAGGUGUGUAUAUAAAUAAAAACACUCGCGCUUCGCUGCGGGGUAACACUCACCCACAGUGAGUAUUUGUGUCAUACAGUUGCACAUUGUUAAUAAAUAAACACUAUUUACAAAUGCCUAUUAGAAACUCCUCGUUAAGAACUUACAUAAGUAUGAUACUGCCUUAAAAAUCCAUAUUGCAAUUUAACUUUAACAAACCCUUUUUAAAUCAUAAGUGCAAUACCAUAUACAGCAUUGGCAAUAGCCUACUAUAUCCAUAGCAUCUGCUUCGAUUAAACUACCAAGCUUCGGAUUGGCGAUUUGAACGCAUCUGGUAAGCUUACUGAGUUCUUCACGAGGCGUUUGUGUCAUCACAUUGAGAAGACAGCCGCACGUCCGCUUAUCCGGAGUUAUACCAAGUUCGAUGAUUCGGUCAAACGUUGUCACCACAUCGUCU